UAGCAGACUCUACAUGUCUCAGUCGCUAAGGCAACCGAUGCUUUUUUUUCCCUCACUUGUUCGCUGUAUCUCCCCCCUUUCUCUCUGUCUCCCUCUCUCAUUCUCUCUCUCCACUGCCAGAGAGAGAGAUGAUCGAAGGAGCGGAGUCUCAGUGAACACAGCGAAGCGAUGGAGAGAUGCUCCAUCUCUCCUGUCGCACGAGUGACUGCCCUCCACUGCCUUGUCUCCCUCCUUCUGGUUGCUCUGGUGACACAGCCCUCCACCUGUAACCUUGACGACAGUGAGGGCGAGGAGCAGGUGGACGCCCUGUCAGUCCAGCUGUCCGUCACGGCCCAGGUCACACCCACCCCUCUGUGGGCAGUGGUCUGGGGUCCCACACAACCGCUGGAGGAUGAGACCUACCACUUCGUCUCCAGCCAGGAAACUGACCCCCUGCACCAGCACGGAAACCAGCUGGAGGCCGGCACCGCCACAUCUGAGGACUGGCUUCAUCACCCUUUGCCAGGCAGCUUGCAGCCACCAGAGGAGACUCUACUGGAGUCCAAGAACCAGGAGGGAGUGGAGGAUGGAGGAACGGAGGCGGAGGAGACAGAGCCUGAGGAAGUGGACCCUCAGUUCUACGUCACCGUGACCAUCUCUUCACUGCUCAUCCUGACGGCAGUCAUCAUAACAGCCAAACUCUGCACCGCCAGUCCGGCUGCAGAUCCGCAGAUAAUCCUCCAGCUUGCCUUGAGCUGAUACACGAUAAGCCCACUUUCCUCUCUGUUCCUGAGACUGGCCUUCGCUGUUGUUUCGAUAACUUACUUCACGGUGCCCCCUUUGUGGAGAGAAAAGCCCACGUUGCUGCUGAUGUGCCUGUGGAUCCAAAGUGGCCUUACAAAGAUCCCAGUUGUGAACCUCUGAGGUGACUGUUUUUCCAUAUGGUAAACAUUUCUACGGGGCCUGAGGAGAAACAUCAACAUGACCAGAGGGUGUGCCUGCAGCGCCGUUUUAUUUUCUCUCAAACUGUGAAAUGAAUUCAGGGAUCCCAGGUAUCCAGCCAUCACAAAAACUCCUCGGCUUCCCUGAGGUCUCAAAAACCCAAACUCAUCUCCCCACCGCUCGUUCGCUCCCUCCCCUUCCUUCCUCUGUGCUCAGUGUAAAUUUCUUUUAUGUGGCUCUGCGUCACUGUAACCAGCUCCCUGUUUUCCAUCCCCCUGUAUGGCCCCGAGCUCUGCCAAGCUACCCAACCACUAUGUGCUUCGACCUGCCAUGACUAAUUCAGAAACAAGCAGUUUAACAGCCAUGCUACAUCCCAUUACCCCGAAAUGCCCUACCUGUGCUUCCACAGAAGUUUCCAGCGAUUCAGCUUCACAUCUGAAGCUUCUCAGUAUUAUUUGAAUCUAUAAGACUGUUCUUUUGUGAAAAUGACACUAAAAUUCUGUUCAUCUUGGUUUGUAAACAGUUAAAAAGUCAUUUUGAGCAUCUCCAAACACUGAACGGGGUAUUUCACAAAGCUGUUUGGCAUGGUUGUAGCCAACAGGCAAUGUGUUUAACAUGUCACGCUCCAAAAACUGCUGUUUAUUCCCCGCUUUGGGCGCCUGAAAAUGCAAACAGUGUGGCUUGUUUCUCUGCAGAAUGUAGAGGAGCCUGUUUUGUUUCAGUUUUCCUCAUGAUUUGUUCUUUUAAUUAUCUGGCUGAUGUACACCUCUUCUUGAGCACCUUUUGUUCCUGCUGGACCGUGCAGAGGUGUGUUAAGAUUAGAGUACUUCAAGUGAUGGAGAUGAGAUAUUCAGCAUCCAGAAUGAGAGUAUAGGAGGCAUUCCUGUUGAAAAUCAAUGAAUCCCUAAGGUUUUUGGUUGGUGGUGCACAACAAAGACAGAUUUAUGUCAUCAUGGAAAUGAGCAUUGGUGAGCGGCACAACCGAUCAAAGGACUGAUGUUAACACAACAUGGAAUUUAUUCACCUGACAGCAUCUCAAUCCAGUAAACAAAAGCACCAUCAUUAUCCAGUCACUGUAUCAAGGCUGUCUUGUGCGUACCAAAGGAAAAGUAGCACAUCAAGGAGCAUCAUUUCUGCUCAGUGAAUCUGCAUGUAUACAGUAAGAAAACCUGUGAGAGUUGCUUCAGAUCUAUUAUUUAUAAAUGUCUAUUUUAUCAAUCAGUGAGUGAUGUCUUCUAGAACCUCUCAAAGGGUUAAAAAGGGUUUGUGUUUAGCAACUUUUCUAAGCAGCUUUGAGACAUGACCCCCCACCUACACACAUUAACACUACAGACAUAGUGCUGGUGGCAUCAUGUGUGGCUCGUGCAAAUCUUCCAGAUAUCAAGUCUUGUGAUUUUUAGUAGCCUUCCUGUAGAAAUGUGGUCUUAACUGUACCAUGAAAGUUCAAUAAAGACUCAACACUGGCGUUUUAGCUUUG